rnacentral:misc_RNA from 1 species
GAUGAAGAACGUAGCGAAAUGCGAUAAGUAAUGCGAAUUGCAGAAUUCAGUGAAUCAUCGAAUCUUUGAACGCACAUUGCGCCCGCCGGUAUUCCGGCGGGCAUGCCUGUUCGAGCGUCAUUUCAACCAUCAAGCCCUGGGCUUGUGUUGGGGACCUGCGGCUGCCGCAGGCCCUGAAAUGCAGUGGCGGGCUCGCAAGACACACCGAGCGUAGUAGCUUACAACCUCGCUUUGGGAGUGCUGCGGGUGCUGGCCGUAAAGCGACCUUUUGCGUCUUUAGCACUAGGUUGACCUCGGAUCAGGUAGGAGGACCCGCUGAACUUAAGCAUAUCAAUAAGCGGAGGA